AAACGUAGGGGGCGAGCGUUAUCCGGAUUUACUGGGCGUAAAGAGCACGUAGGCGGUACGGAAAGUUGGGCGUGAAAGCUUCUGGCUUAACCAGGAGAGGUCGUUCAAAACUACCGUACUUGAGGUGGAAAGAGGAGAGCAGAAUUCCCGGUGUAGUGGUGGAAUGCGUAGAUAUCGGGAGGAAUACCAGUGGCGAAAGCGGCUCUCUGGUUCAUACCUGACGCUGAGGUGCGAAAGCGUGGGGAGCGAACGGGAUUAGAAACCCCAGUAGUCC
rnacentral:rRNA from 1 species